AUUGAACGCUGGCGGCAUGUCUUACACAUGCAAGUCGAACGGUAACGGGCCUUCGGGUGCCGACGAGUGGCGAACGGGUGAGUAAUGCAUCGGAACGUACCUUUCAGUGGGGGAUAACGUAGCGAAAGUUACGCUAAUACCGCAUAUUCUGUGAGCAGGAAAGCAGGGGAUCGCAAGACCUUGCGCUGAUUGAGCGGCCGAUGUCAGGUUAGCUAGUUUGUGAGGUAAAGGCUCACCAAGGCGACGAUCUGUAGCGGGUCUGAGAGGAUGAUCCCCCAAACUGGAACUGAGACACUGUGCAGACUCCUACGGGAGGCAGCAGUGGGUAAUUUUGGACAAUGGGGGCAACCCUGAUCCAGCCAUGCCGCGUGAGUGAAGAAGGCCGUCGGGUUGUAAAGCUCUUUCGGCCGGGAAGAAAUCGUAUGGGCUAAUACCCUGUGCGGAUGACGGUACCGGCAUAAGAAGCACCGGCUAACUACGUGCCAGCAGCCGCCGUAAAAC
rnacentral:rRNA from 1 species